AACGAACGCUGGCGGCGUGGCUAAGGCAUGCAAGUCGAACGGAUCUAUCCAACGGGUAACUGAAGGGUAGAUUAGUGGCGAACGGGUGAGGAAUACAUGGACAACGUACCCUGGACACGGGGAUAGCGGCGGGCCGCAAGGCCCUUUAGCGAAAGUGCCGGUAAUACCCGAUGAUCCCGCGUGACCGCAUGGUCGUGCGGGCAAAGCUCCGACGGUCUAGGAUCGGUUCAUGGCCAUCAGCUAGUUGGCGAGGUAACGGCUCACCAAGGCGACGACGGGGUACCGGGCGUGAGAGCGUGACCCGGCACAUCGGAACUGAGACACGGGUCCGGACACCUACGGGGUGGCUGCAGCAACGAAUAUUCCGCAAUGGGCNCAAGCCUGACGGAGCGACGCCGCG
rnacentral:rRNA from 1 species